GACACAGUGAGGUCACAGCCCACUUCCACGUCUGCCAGGUCAAGGCAUCUUGAAAGCGGAGUUCCUUUGAAUCAGUCUUGUGAAUGCCUCUCCUUGCCAUUGGUGGAUUUGCUAUUGUAUUUUAUAUGCCACAUCAAGUGCAAAAUUACAUUUCCAAAUAUCUUCAGAAACUACUCAUGCUGAUGGCAGAGGAGAGGCCAGAGGUGUCUUACUGCCUGCGGCAUCUACAAAAUCCCUGAGCAAGAAAGACGAUUG